rnacentral:lncRNA from 1 species
UUAGUCCAGACAGGAACAAAGAAAGCCAUGACCUCAAGUAUGUUUGCGCUCCCUGACCUCCUGUCUCUUGGGCGGCACCCUCGCUUUGCUCUCCUUCCAUGAGGCUCCUGCCAAAAUCAGCCUUCUCCAAGGUGCCAAGCCUCAGCUGGCCCCAGCUCUCCUGAGAUGGGCAGAGGGGCAGGGCCGUGGAGGGGCCGAUUCUGCUUGGCUGGGGCUGCUCUGCCUGUGUGCACCUGCUCUGAGCUCUGCUGUUUGCCUCUCCGCUGGGGGGCUAGGGGCCGCUGCAGGCUCCUGUGCUGCUCUUGCCCCAUCCCCCACCCUCCAGCCUCUCCUGAAGACCCCCGACAGGGCUGUCUGGGCCUGCUUUCU